GCAGUCGAACGGUAGCACAGAGAGCUUGCUCUCGGGUGACGAGUGGCGGACGGGUGAGUAAUGUCUGGGAAACUGCCUGAUGGAGGGGGAUAACUACUGGAAACGGUAGCUAAUACCGCAUAACGUCGCAAGACCAAAGAGGGGGACCUUCGGGCCUCUUGCCAUCAGAUGUGCCCAGAUGGGAUUAGCUAGUAGGUGGGGUAAUGGCUCACCUAGGCGACGAUCCCUAGCUGGUCUGAGAGGAUGACCAGCCACACUGGAACUGAGACACGGUCCAGACUCCUACGGGAGGCAGCAGUGGGGAAUAUUGCACAAUGGGCGCAAGCCUGAUGCAGCCAUGCCGCGUGUAUGAAGAAGGCCUUCGGGUUGUAAAGUACUUUCAGCGAGGAGGAAGGCAUCAAGGUUAAUAACCUUGGUGAUUGACGUUACUCGCAGAAGAAGCACCGGCUAACUCCGUGCCAGCAGCCGCGGUAAUACGGAGGGUGCAAGCGUUAAUCGGAAUUACUGGGCGUAAAGCGCACGCAGGCGGUCUGUCAAGUCGGAUGUGAAAUCCCCGGGCUCAACCUGNGAACUGCAUUCGAAACUGGCAGGCUAGAGUCUUGU
rnacentral:rRNA from 1 species